rnacentral:rRNA from 1 species
CGGGCCGGGGGGUGCCUAAUACAUGCAAGUCGAACGAACUCUGGUAUUGAUUGGUGCUUGCAUCAUGAUUUACAUUUGAGUGAGUGGCGAACUGGUGAGUAACACGUGGGAAACCUGCCCAGAAGCGGGGGAUAACACCUGGAAACAGAUGCUAAUACCGCAUAACAACUUGGACCGCAUGGUCCGAGUUUGAAAGAUGGCUUCGGCUAUCACUUUUGGAUGGUCCCGCGGCGUAUUAGCUAGAUGGUGGGGUAACGGCUCACCAUGGCAAUGAUACGUAGCCGACCUGAGAGGGUAAUCGGCCACAUUGGGACUGAGACACGGCCCAAACUCCUACGGGAGGCAGCAGUAGGGAAUCUUCCACAAUGGACGAAAGUCUGAUGGAGCAACGCCGCGUGAGUGAAGAAGGGUUUCGGCUCGUAAAACUCUGUUGUUAAAGAAGAACAUAUCUGAGAGUAACUGUUCAGGUAUUGACGGUAUUUAACCAGAAAGCCACGGCUAACUACGUGCCAGCAGCCGCGGUAAUACGUAGGUGGCAAGCGUUGUCCGGAUUUAUUGGGCGUAAAGCGAGCGCAGGCGGUUUUUUAAGUCUGAUGUGAAAGCCUUCGGCUCAACCGAAGAAGUGCAUCGGAAACUGGGAAACUUGAGUGCAGAAGAGGACAGUGGAACUCCAUGUGUAGCGGUGAAAUGCGUAGAUAUAUGGAAGAACACCAGUGGCGAAGGCGGCUGUCUGGUCUGUAACUGACGCUGAGGCUCGAAAGUAUGGGUAGCAAACAGGAUUAGAUACCCUGGUAGUCCAUACCGUAAACGAUGAAUGCUAAGUGUUGGAGGGUUUCCGCCCUUCAGUGCUGCAGCUAACGCAUUAAGCAUUCCGCCUGGGGAGUACGGCCGCAAGGCUGAAACUCAAAGGAAUUGACGGGGGCCCGCACAAGCGGUGGAGCAUGUGGUUUAAUUCGAAGCUACGCGAAGAACCUUACCAGGUCUUGACAUACUAUGCAAAUCUAAGAGAUUAGACGUUCCCUUCGGGGACAUGGAUACAGGUGGUGCAUGGUUGUCGUCAGCUCGUGUCGUGAGAUGUUGGGUUAAGUCCCGCAACGAGCGCAACCCUUAUUAUCAGUUGCCAGCAUUAAGUUGGGCACUCUGGUGAGACUGCCGGUGACAAACCGGAGGAAGGUGGGGAUGACGUCAAAUCAUCAUGCCCCUUAUGACCUGGGCUACACACGUGCUACAAUGGAUGGUACAACGAGUUGCGAACUCGCGAGAGUAAGCUAAUCUCUUAAAGCCAUUCUCAGUUCGGAUUGUAGGCUGCAACUCGCCUACAUGAAGUCGGAAUCGCUAGUAAUCGCGGAUCAGCAUGCCGCGGUGAAUACGUUCCCGGGCCUUGUACACACCGCCCGUCACACCAUGAGAGUUUGUAACACCCAAAGUCGGUGGGGUAACCUUUUAGGAACCAGCCGCCUAAAGGUGGAACAAGAGUUG